UAAACAAUUAACUUAAGAAAGAAAAAAGAAAGACGAAACAUUUAUGGGCGACAACUAUGGCGGACGAUCUAUUGCAUCAGGUUAUGAGCCUGGAUUUUUGUUGUACUUGUCAUUCUCUUCUUUUCCGAGGCUUCUUGGAGAUUUGUGAGGUAGCUGUUUCCAUCUCAGCAGACUUCCUUCUCCUUAAUUGUGAUUUUGUUAUAUUCUAAAACCAAGUUCAUUUGAGACUUGAGUUUUCUUUUGUGUCAAUUGUAAUACUUUAGAGGCUUGUACACGUGACUACCAGGUUUUGGAUUUUUUAUUAAGUUACUUAUAUUUUAUUUUCGCACUUUAUUGUAAUGGUUGAGUUUUAGGCUGACUUGUCUUGGUGGGAUAAGACGAGUGUCAUCACACCCAUUUUUUAUCGUGACAUUUCCUUUCCGUUUGUAUUAUUGAAAUUUAGAUGUCUUAAUCAGAAUAUUAAUUUAAUACUAGUAUUUAUUAGUUUAA